CAGCAGCCGCGGGAAUACGAAGGGUGCAAGCGUUACUCGGAAUCACUGGGCGUAAAGCGUGCGUAGGUGGUGGCUUAAGUCCGUUGUGAAAGCCCUGGGCUCAACCUGGGAAUUGCAGUGGAUACUGGGUCACUAGAGUGUGGUAGAGGAUAGUGGAAUUUCCGGUGUAGCAGUGAAAUGCGUAGAGAUCGGAAGGAACAUCUGUGGCGAAGGCGACUAUCUGGGCCAACACUGACACUGAGGCACGAAAGCGUGGGGAGCAAACAGGAUUAGAUACCCCAGUAGUCCUGUCUCUUAUACA
rnacentral:rRNA from 1 species